rnacentral:rRNA from 1 species
UAACUUGUCGCGAUGGAUGACUUGG